AUUGAACGCUGGCGGCAGGCUUAACACAUGCAAGUCGAGCGAGCGGCGGACGGGUGCGUAAUGUCUGGGAAACUGCCUGAUGGAGGGGGAUAACUCCUGGAAACGGUAGCUAAUACCGCAUACCAUCAGAUGUGCCCAGAUGGGAUUAGCUAGUAGGUGGGGUAAUGGCUCACCUAGGCGACGAUCCCUAGCUGGUCUGAGAGGAUGACCAGCCACAGUGGAACUGAGACACGGUGCAGACGCCUAAGGGAGGCAGCAGUGGGGAAUAUGGCACAAGGGGAGAAAGCCUGAUACAGCCAUGCCGCGUGUAUGAAGAAGGCCUUCGGGUUGUAAAGCACUUUCAGCGAGGAGGCGUUACUCGCAGAAGAAGCACCGGCUAACUCCGUGCCAGGAGCCGCGGUAAUAC
rnacentral:rRNA from 1 species